rnacentral:rRNA from 1 species
AGCGGCGGACGGGUGAGUAAUGCUUAGGAAUCUGCCUAUUAGUGGGGGACAACAUUCCGAAAGGAAUGCUAAUACCGCAUACGCCCUACGGGGGAAAGCAGGGGAUCUUCGGACCUUGCGCUAAUAGAUGAGCCUAAGUCAGAUUAGCUAGUUGGUGGGGUAAAGGCCUACCAAGGCGACGAUCUGUAGCGGGUCUGAGAGGAUGAUCCGCCACACUGGGACUGAGACACGGCCCAGACUCCUACGGGAGGCAGCAGUGGGGAAUAUUGGACAAUGGGCGAAAGCCUGAUCCAGCCAUGCCGCGUGUGUGAAGAAGGCCUUUUGGUUGUAAAGCACUUUAAGCGAGGAGGAGGCUACUUGGAUUAAUACUCUAGGAUAGUGGACGUUACUCGCAGAAUAAGCACCGGCUAACUCUGUGCCAGCAGCCGCGGUAAUACAGAGGGUGCGAGCGUUAAUCGGAUUUACUGGGCGUAAAGCGUGCGUAGGCGGCUUCUUAAGUCGGAUGUGAAAUCCCUGAGCUUAACUUAGGAAUUGCAUUCGAUACUGGGAAGCUAGAGUAUGGGAGAGGAUGGUAGAAUUCCAGGUGUAGCGGUGAAAUGCGUAGAGAUCUGGAGGAAUACCGAUGGCGAAGGCAGCCAUCUGGCCUAAUACUGACGCUGAGGUACGAAAGCAUGGGGAGCAAACAGGAUUAGAUACCCUGGUAGUCCAUGCCGUAAACGAUGUCUACUAGCCGUUGGGGCCUUUGAGGCUUUAGUGGCGCAGCUAACGCGAUAAGUAGACCGCCUGGGGAGUACGGUCGCAAGACUAAAACUCAAAUGAAU